rnacentral:rRNA from 1 species
GAUGAACGCUGGCGGCGUGCCUAAUACAUGCAAGUCGAGCGAGGUUCUUCGGAACCUAGCGGCGGACGGGUGAGUAACACGUGGGUAACCUGCCUGUAAGACCGGGAUAACUUCGGGAAACCGAAGCUAAUACCGGAUAAUUUCGAGCAUCGCAUGAUGCUUGAUGGAAAGACGGUUUCGGCUGUCACUUACAGAUGGACCCGCGUCGCAUUAGCUAGUUGGUGAGGUAACGGCUCACCAAGGCGACGAUGCGUAGCCGACCUGAGAGGGUGAUCGGCCACACUGGGACUGAGACACGGCCCAGACUCCUACGGGAGGCAGCAGUAGGGAAUCUUCAGCAAUGGGCGAAAGCCUGACCGAGCAACGCCGCGUGAGCGAUGAAGGCCUUCGGGUCGUAAAGCUCUGUUGUUAAGGAAGAACAAGUACGAGAGUAACUGCUCGUACCUUGACGGUACUUAACGAGAAAGCCACGGCUAACUACGUGCCAGCCGCCGCAGUAAAAC